rnacentral:rRNA from 1 species
UGUCGGCAANACUUACCAUGCAAGUCGAACGGCAGCGCGGGCUUCGGCCUGGCGGCGAGUGGCGAACGGGUGAGUAAUACAUCGGAACGUGCCCUGUCGUGGGGGAUAACUAGUCGAAAGAUUAGCUAAUACCGCAUACGACCCGAGGGUGAAAGCGGGGGACCGGUAGGGGNCUCGCGCNAUGNGNGCGCCAUAUCUCAGAUUAUCUUUUGUGGGGGGUAAGCGCCCCCCAGCGACAAUAUCUAUCUCGUGUCAGAGGAGAAUAUCCCCCACUCUGACACAGACACACCCCCCACACC